rnacentral:tRNA from 1 species
GAAGUAUCCAUUUUGGUAUGGAGGGCUGCUAACCUUUUAUAGAGUAAAAGUUAUUCAUACUUCU